GGAUACCAAUGAUCUGCAACUCCAGGAAACGCAGAGGCAAGAUAAGUAAGGAUUGCAUGGCUUUCAAAUAGCUGAAGCUCUCCAUGAAUGAUAGCCGGGACUUGCCCCAUAGGAUUUAUCUCUUUAUAUUCGGGAGACUUAUGCUGUCCCUUGGAUAAAUCAAUCGUCACCUCCUCAAACUCUAUAUUAUUCGCCUUGCAGAAGAUCAUAACAGCUCGCGAUGGCUGAGAUGCUCGAUGUCCAUACACUUUGAGCUCCAUUUUCCUCUCUCGUUCUCUCCCUCUUAUUCUCUGUAUCACUUUAUGUGUGUUUAGAG
rnacentral:misc_RNA from 1 species